rnacentral:rRNA from 1 species
UACAGAGGGGGCAAGCGUUAUUCGGAAUUAUUGGGCGUAAAGGGCGCGUAGGCGGCCUUCUUAGUCGGACGUGAAAUCCCCAGGCUCAACUUGGGAACUGCGUCCGAUACUGGAUGGCUUGAGUGCGGGAGAGGGAUGUGGAAUUCCAGGUGUAGCGGUGAAAUGCGUAGAUAUCUGGAGGAACACCGGUGGCGAAGGCGGCAUCCUGGACCGACACUGACGCUGAGGCGCGAAAGCUAGGGGAGCAAACGGG